rnacentral:rRNA from 1 species
UGAUCCUGGCUCAGGACGAACGCUGGCGGCGUGCUUAACACAUGCAAGUCGAACGCUGAAGCUCAGCUUGCUGGGUGGAUGAGUGGCGAACGGGUGAGUAACACGUGAGUAACCUGCCCUCUUCUUUGGGAUAACGCCCGGAAACGGGUGCUAAUACUGGAUAUUCACUGGCCUUCGCAUGGGGGUUGGUGGAAAGGUUUGUUCUGGUGGGGGAUGGGCUCGCGGCCUAUCAGCUUGUUGGUGGGGUGAUGGCCUACCAAGGCUUUGACGGGUAGCCGGCCUGAGAGGGUGACCGGUCACAUUGGGACUGAGAUACGGCCCAGACUCCUACGGGAGGCAGCAGUGGGGAAUAUUGCACAAUGGGCGAAAGCCUGAUGCAGCGACGCCGCGUGAGGGAUGGAGGCCUUCGGGUUGUAAACCUCUUUCGCUCAUGGUCAAGCCGCGACAUUGGUUGUGGUGAGGGUAGUGGGUAAAGAAGCGCCGGCUAACUACGUGCCAGCAGCCGCGGUAAUACGUAGGGCGCGAGCGUUGUCCGGAAUUAUUGGGCGUAAAGGGCUUGUAGGCGGUUGGUCGCGUCUGCCGUGAAAUUCUCUGGCUUAACUGGGGGCGUGCGGUGGGUACGGGCUGACUUGAGUGCGGUAGGGGAGACUGGAACUCCUGGUGUAGCGGUGGAAUGCGCAGAUAUCAGGAAGAACACCGGUGGCGAAGGCGGGUCUCUGGGCCGUUACUGACGCUGAGGAGCGAAAGCGUGGGGAGCGAACAGGAUUAGAUACCCUGGUAGUCCACGCUGUAAACGUUGGGCACUAGGUGUGGGGGCCACCCGUGGUUUCUGCGCCGUAGCUAACGCUUUAAGUGCCCCGCCUGGGGAGUACGGCCGCAAGGCUAAAACUCAAAGGAAUUGACGGGGGCCCGCACAAGCGGCGGAGCAUGCGGAUUAAUUCGAUGCAAC